GCAAGUCGAACGGCAGCAUAACAGGAGCUUGCUCUUGUUGAUGGCGAGUGGCGGACGGGUGAGUAACGCGUAGGAAUAUGCCUUAAAGAGGGGGAUAACUUGGGGAAACCCAAGCUAAUACCGCAUAUGCUCUGAGGAGCGAAGCUGGGGACCUUCGGGCCUGGCGCUUUGAGAAUAGCCUGCGUCUGAUUAGCUAGUUGGUGGGGUAAAGGCCUACCAAGGCGAUGAUCGGUAGCUGGUCUGAGAGGAUGGAC
rnacentral:rRNA from 1 species